rnacentral:rRNA from 1 species
UUGGAGGGCAAGUCUGGUGCCAGCAGCCGCGGUAAUUCCAGCUCCAAUAGCGUAUAUUAAAGUUGUUGCAGUUAAAAAGCUCGUAGUUGAAUUUCGGGGUUAGUAGGUCGGUCAUGCCUCAGGUAUGCACUGGUCUCACUGAUUCCUCCUUCCUGAUGAGCCGUAAUGCCAUUAAUUUGGUGUUGCGGGGAAUCUGGACUGUUACUUUGAAAAAAUUAGAGUGUUUAAAGCAGGCUAACGCAUGAAUACAUUAGCAUGGAAUAAUGGAAUAGGACGUUCGAUCCUAUUUUGUUGGUUUCUAGGAUUGACGUAAUGAUUAAUAGGGAUAGUUGGGGGCAUUAGUAUUCAAUUGUCAGAGGUGAAAUUCUUGGAUUUAUUGAAGACUAACUACUGCGAAAGCAUUUGCCAAGGAUGUUUUCAUUAAUCAAGAACGAAAGUUAGGGGAUCGAAGACGAUCAGAUACCGUCGUAGUCUUAACCAUAAACUAUGCCGACUAGGGAUCGAGAUG